UGUACUAGGAGGACAUUACAGAGUUCAUGCCCGAAAGGGUAGACCUCCCACCCUUGUGUAUUAUUACUUUGUUGCUUUGGCGAGCUGCCUUCGGGCCUUGUAUGCUCGCCAGAGAAUACCAAAACUCUUUUUAUUAAUGUCGUCUGAGUACUAUAUAAUAGUUAAAACUUUCAACAACGGAUCUCUUGGUUCUGGCAUCGAUGAAGAACGCAGCGAAAUGCGAUAAGUAAUGUGAAUUGCAGAAUUCAGUGAAUCAUCGAAUCUUUGAACGCACAUUGCGCCCCUUGGUAUUCCGGGGGGCAUGCCUGUUCGAGCGUCAUUUCAACCCUCAAGCUUAGCUUGGUAUUGAGUCUAUGUCAGUAAUGGCAGGCUCUAAAAUCAGUGGCGGCGCCGCUGGGUCCUGAACGUAGUAAUAUCUCUCGUUACAGGUUCUCGGUGUGCUUCUGCCAAAACCCAAAUUUUUCUAUGGUUGACCUCGGAUCAGGUAGGGAUACCCGCUGAACUUAAGCAUAUCAUAAGGCGGAAGGAAAA
rnacentral:rRNA from 1 species